GACGAACGCUGGCGGCGUGCCUAAUACAUGCAAGUUGAGCGAUGAAGAUUGGUGCUUGCACCAAUUUGAAGAGCAGCGAACGGGUGAGUAACGCGUGGGGAAUCUGCCUUUGAGCGGGGGACAACAUUUGGAAACGAAUGCUAAUACCGCAUAACAACUUUAAACAUAAGUUUUAAGUUUGAAAGAUGCAAUUGCAUCACUCAAAGAUGAUCCCGCGUUGUAUUAGCUAGUUGGUGAGGUAAAGGCUCACCAAGGCGAUGAUACAUAGCCGACCUGAGAGGGUGAUCGGCCACAUUGGGACAGAGACACGGCCCAAACUCCUAUGGGAGGCAGCAGUAGGGAAUCUUCGGCAAUGGACGAAAGUCUGACCGAGCAACGCCGCGGGAGUGAAGAAGGGUUUCGGAUCGUAAAACUCUGUUGGUAGAGAAGAACGUUGGUGAGAGUGGAAAGCUCAUCAAGUGACGGUAACUACCCAGAAAGGGACGGCUAACUACGUG
rnacentral:rRNA from 1 species